AUGAACUAUCACAUGAAUUUUCCUAGCUCCAAUGGUCGCGCCGCCCAGGACGUCGGCGGCGGAGACGAAGGCAAUUUGUACUGGGACGUCGUGGCCGAGCCGCAGGACCUCCGCCUUGACGAGCUGCUGGACCUAGGCCUCGACGAGACGCCGGACCUCGGCCUCCCUCUGGUUUUCAUGGUCUAUGGUGGUGUCAUGAAUUUAGGGGUACAUCUCCUUGCACUCAGGUGGAAGAAAUUCCUCGCCCUCAAGUCCAACUAA
rnacentral:rRNA from 1 species